rnacentral:rRNA from 1 species
CACGUAGGGCGCAAGCGUUGUCCGGAAUUAUUGGGCGUAAAGAGCUCGUAGGCGGUCUGUUGCGUCCGCUGUGAAAACUCGGGGCUUAACCCCGAGCCUGCAGUGGAUACGGGCAGACUAGAGGUAGGUAGGGGAGAAUGGAAUUCCCGGUGUAGCGGUGAAAUGCGCAGAUAUCGGGAGGAACACCGGUGGCGAAGGCGGCUCUCUGGGACGGUACUGACGCUGAGGUGCGAAAGCGUGGGGAGCAAACAGG